rnacentral:lncRNA from 1 species
CAGCCCAAAGAAGCCAUCCUAGUAAGGACUGCAAAUUAGUGUAUCCUUAUUCUUCAUUUCAAAAAUACUUUGGAGCACAGUAUGAAGGAUCAAAUUAAACUGAACUUGAGAAAUACCACUGCUAUAGGGGCUUGGAGCAACGUAGUGUCUGCUUAGAUUUAACAGUUCUCUUUAAAGAGUUUGAUCCGAUUACCACACACAAAAAUCCUCAGUAUUUAUUUCAGCUGUAGUGGCACUUCUGAGUGAAGAGCGAAAGCUACCAGAUGUAUCUCACAGCUUCAGAUGCCUUUGCUGGGUCCAGCUCAUAUAGGAUACUCCAUUAAUGGAGAAAAUCAGGAUGUGUAGGUUCCCUUUUUGGACGCAUUUACAUGAACGUGUAUAACUAUGCAAGCUCUUUCACUGUACCCUCAAAGGCUUAUUGAGACACGGCACAAGUUUUACAUCAGGCCAAGCUCAUAUGCAGGCAGCUUUGAGAAGCAGAGCAAGCCCGAAUAUGUUUGUUCUUGACAUCUAUUGCAGUGGAGAGCAGAGAAAGGAAUAGAAGAAAUGCACUGACAGCUCAGCCAGCCUGUGCCUCCCAUCUCAAUUCAAUGCCUUCCCCCAGCCCUUUACAGGAUCAAAAAGAUGCUAUUUCAGAUCUCGGUUCAUAAUAACAAAGAUAUGUAUGUCCUUCUGAUCUCUCUGGAUUUUAACUUUCAGUUCCUGUCCUCCUACACAUCCCAUUUCUGCAUGGGAAAACCACACCGAUUCCACUGCAGAAGACUUUUGCACUCCUCCAGACCAGAGGCUAGGGAGGCCCUUCAGGAAGGGGGUGAGCCAUGUGUGAUGAAGACCAGCCAUGAAGCCAUUACUCUGCAUCCCAUGCAAUGGAACUGAAUGAUGGAGUUCCCCACGGAGAAGUGACCCACAGAAGCAGAACAGGAAAAAGACAAUUGGGUCAGCAUUUAUCAAGAAAUGGGUGGAAAUGUGUUAGCUUGAAAGAGCAGCAAGCAAAGGUUGUUUUUUUCCUCCCCCUCACAGUACUGUAGCUAUGGUGUCAAAUCCUAUCUGACCCCUGUUCUGAGAGGAAUGGCUUUGUUAAGAGGAAGUGCACGUCAUCAAGACAAAUCUCUCUCUUUAUUAAAUUAAUUCCUGUACAAGAGACUGAGACCUUUCCUUUUAAGCUCAGAGGGAA